GGACUACUGGGGUAUCUAAUCCCGUUUGCUCCCCUGGCCUUCGUGCCUCAGCGUCAGCAACUGUCCAGGAACUCGCCUUCGCCACUGGUCUUCCUUACGAUAUCUACGCAUUUCACUGCUACACCGUAAAUUCCAGUUCCCUCUCCAGUGCUCUAGUAAGGCAGUAUCCAGUGCAGUUCCGGAGUUGAGCUCCGGGAUUUCACACCAGACUUACCUCACCGCCUACGCACCCUUUACGCCCAAUGAAUCCGAACAACGCUUGAGACCUCUGUAUUACCGCGGCUGCUGGCAC
rnacentral:rRNA from 2 species